rnacentral:rRNA from 1 species
GGGAGCUCACUACAAGGAGUGCGGCGUGCGGUUUAAUUCGAAUAUACACAGGAAAUCUCACCAGGAGCGACGGCAGGAUGAAGGUCAGAUUGAAGGUUUUACCUGACAAGCCGAGAGGUGUUGCAUGGCCGUCGUCAGUUCGUGCCGUAAGGUGUUGCGUUAAGUCGUAUAACGAACAAGACCCAUGCCUACAUUUGCCAUCGUCUUCUAUGGAAGGAACGAGCACAAUGUAGGAACUGCCUUGGAAACGAGGAGGAAGGUGUGGGCAACGAUAGGUCUGUAUGACCCGAAUCUGCUGGGCUACACGCGCGCAACAAUGGUAGAGACAAUGGGAUACAACUCCGAAAGGAGAAGUUAAGCCUCUAAACUCUAUCUUAGUCUAGAUUGAGGUUUGUAAUUCAGCCUCAUGACAAUGGAAUCCCUAGUAAUCGGGUGUCAACAGCGCCCGGUGAACACGUCCACGAGCCUUGCACACACUGCCCGUCAUCCCAACCGAGCAGGGCUUUGGUGAGGUUUAUUUUUUUGAAUGAAUCGAAUCUAAGUUCAGUGAGGUGGGGCAAGUCGUCACAAGGUAUCCGUAGGGGAACCUGCGGAUGGAUCACCUCCUAU